GGAAGUACCAAGUUCCAAAAGCUGCUGUCCAUUCACUGACUUUCUCUGUCCAAGAAGGAGAGUGUUUUGGGUUCUUAGGAACUAAUGGAGCAGGAAAGACAACAACACUGUCAAUGCUAUCUGGAGAAGAAUACCCUAGUGAUGGAACAGCAUUCAUUUUUGGUAAAGAUAUACGUUCAGAUCCCAAGGUUGCUCGUAGACAUGUUGGAUAUUGUCCUCAGUUUGAUGCUUUACUAG
rnacentral:misc_RNA from 1 species